GACGAACGCUGGCGGCAUGCCUAACACAUGCAAGUCGAACGAAAAGGUCGGGCGUAGUGGCGCACGGGCGAGUAGCGCGGGGGAACCUGCCCUUAGAGUCCGAAUCACUCCCCGAAGGGGGUGCUAAUGGCGGUAAAACUCUUCGGACCAACGGUUUAUCGCCUUUGGGUGGGCCCGCGUUUGCUUAGCUAGUUGGUAGUGUAAAAGCCUACCAAGGCGACGUGGCAUAGCUGGUCGGAGAGGAGGAUCAGCUACGCUUGGACUGCGACACGGCCCAGACUCCUACGGGACGGAGCAGUGGGGAAUAUUGUACAAGGGACGAUAGCGUGGUCCAGCAGCGCCGCGGGAGUGAUGAAGGCCUUAGUGUUGUAAAGCUCUUUUACCCGAGAUGAUAAUGACAGUACCGGGAGAAUAAGCUCCGGCUAACUCCGUG
rnacentral:rRNA from 1 species